rnacentral:snRNA from 1 species
GUGCUUGCUUUGGCAGCACAUAUUCUAAAACUGGAAAGAUACAGAGAAGAUUAGCAUGGCUCCUGCUCAAGGAUGACAUGCAAAUUCGUGAAGCAUUCCAUAUUAUU